rnacentral:lncRNA from 1 species
CCAGCUCCUGGAGGGGCUCGUGGGUAGGUAUGGAGAGAGAUGAGCAAUGGUCUACACAGAUGACAGAACAUAUCCGCAUCCCUAAGGAAUUGGCUCAGGCAAUGGUGAAGAUUUGGCAAGUCCAAAAUCUGAUGGAGGAGUCUGGCGGGAUGGAGACUCUGAAAAUAGUUGCAGUUUGAGUCAAAAGGCAAGCUGUCCGUGAGCUAGGAAGAGCCGAUGUUGCAGUUCAAGUCCAAAGACCCUCUGCUGGCAAAGUUCCCUCCUGCUCGGAGGAGCUAAAUCUUUUGUUCUAUUUAAGCCUUCACCUAAUUGGAUAAGGCCCACCUGCAUUAUGGAGCUCAUCUGCUUUACUCAAAUCUACUAAUUUGAAUGCUAAUCUCAUCCAAAAACACUGUCACAGAUACAUUCAGAAUAAUAUUUGGUCAAUAUCUCGGCCCAAUCAAGCUGACACAUAAAGUUAACCUCCACAAGGGCUGCAUCUGAAAUCCUAGAUGGGAACACUUCGGAGAGGUACCAGCAGGUUCCUUGACUCACUCCUAGGGCCCCUUGUGCUAAGGUUUUUCUGUGGCUCUCAAGCCAUUUCCAGGAAUUGAAUAGAAACUCUCUCUCUCUCUCUCUCUCCCCACCCAAACAAUAUUCCCUGAAAGCUAUUAAUUCCUGCAAGCAGGAGCUCAACUCAAACAAAUGUUUCUAUAAAUGGCCAGUCAGCAAUGGGCGGCUUGGGAGAUGUGGCAUCUUGUCCCUGGGGACCUUCAGUAAGAGAAUGCAAACCAUCUGUUCCGUUGCGUCUAGCCAGGGCAGCCACUGGCUUGUGCAGGAGCCUGGGCCAGAUGUUUUCCUGAGGUCUCUUCUUGCUCAAGGAUCUGAUGACACCAACUCUUCAUUUCUUCUGAAUCAAC